UAGGGAAUCUUCCACAAUGGACGCAAGUCUGAUGGAGCAACGCCGCGUGAGUGAAGAAGGGUUUCGGCUCGUAAAGCUCUGCUGUUAAAGAAGAACGUGGGUAAGAGUAACUGUUUACCCAGUGACGGUAUUUAACCAGAAAGCCACGGCUAACUACGUGCCAA
rnacentral:rRNA from 1 species